GAUGAACGCUGGCGGCGUGCCUAAUACAUGCAAGUCGAGCGAACAGACGAGGAGCUUGCUCCUCUGACGUUAGCGGCGGACGGGUGAGUAACACGUGGAUAACCUACCUAUAAGACUGGGAUAACUUCGGGAAACCGGAGCUAAUACCGGAUAAUAUAUUGAACCGCAUGGUUCAAUAGUGAAAGACGGUUUUGCUGUCACUUAUAGAUGGAUCCGCGCCGCAUUAGCUAGUUGGUAAGGUAACGGCUUACCAAGGCGACGAUGCGUAGCCGACCUGAGAGGGUGAUCGGCCACACUGGAACUGGGACACGGUCCAGACUACUACGGGAGGCAGCAGUAGGGAAUCUUCCGCAAUGGGCGAAAGCCUGACGGAGCAACGCCGCGUGAGUGAUGAAGGUCUUCGGAUCGUAAAACUCUGUUAUUAGGGAAGAACAAAUGUGUAAGUAACUAUGCACGUCUUGACGGUACCUAAUCAGAAAGCCACGGCUAACUACGUG
rnacentral:rRNA from 1 species